rnacentral:rRNA from 1 species
AUUGAACGCUGGCGGAAUGCUUUACACAUGCAAGUCGAACGGCAGCACGGACUUCGGUCUGGUGGCGAGUGGCGAACGGGUGAGUAAUGUAUCGGAACGUGCCCGGUCGUGGGGGAUAACGUAGUGAAAAUUACGCUAAUACCGCAUACGAUCUAUGGAUGAAAGCGGGGGAUCGCAAGACCUCGCGCGAAUGGAGCGGCCGAUAUCAGAUUAGGUAGUUGGUGGGGUAAAGGCCCACCAAGCCAACGAUCUGUAGCUGGUCUGAGAGGACGACCAGCCACACUGGAACUGAGAAACGGUCCAGACUCCUACGGGAGGCAGCAGUGGGGAAUUUUGGACAAUGGGCGAAAGCCUGAUCCAGCCAUUCCGCGUGCAGGAUGAAUGCCCUCGGGUUGUAAACUGCUUUUGUACAGAACGAAAAGGUUUCUACUAAUACUAGGAGCUCAUGACGGUACUGUAAGAAUAAGCACCGGCUAACUACGUGCCAGCCGCCGCCGUAA